rnacentral:lncRNA from 1 species
UUCUCUCCUAAGCAACUCAAAUCCACUGCUUCCACUCCCCGUCCCAUUAGAGCCAUGGCCGAAGAAGCCGCCGCCGCCGCCACAACAAAAGCAGAGGCUCCAGUGGGCUUUACCCCACCACAAUUGGACCCAAACACACCUUCCCCAAUCUUCGGUGGCAGCACCGGCGGGCUUCUCCGCAAGGCCCAAGUUGAGGAGUUUUACGUAAUUACUUGGGAAUCACCUAAAGAACAGAUCUUUGAGAUGCCAACUGGUGGUGCAGCUAUUAUGAGGGAAGGUGCUAAUUUGCUGAAAUUGGCGAGGAAAGAGCAGUGUUUAGCACUUGGUACUAGGCUUAGGUCAAAGUACAAGAUUAACUACAGG